rnacentral:tRNA from 1 species
GCCGAGAUGGCCCAGCCUGGUACGGCGAGAGCCUGGAGAGCUCUUGGUGGGAAACCGCCGCGGGAGUUCGAAUCUCCCUCUCGGCG